rnacentral:tRNA from 1 species
GCUGGCUCAGCCAGUAGAGCAUGAGACUCCUGAUCUCAGGGUCAUGAGUUCAAGUCCCACGUUGGGCA